CUUUCACUUUUCUUUCUUUCUCUCCCUCCCACUUCUUCUCUCUCUUCCUUUUCUCCUUCUUUUUCUCUUUUCCCCUUUUCUCUCCCCUUGUUUCACGGCAGCAGCAGCCUCCCUCUUCCUUUCUUUCUUCUACCCAUUUCUCCUACUUCUUCUGUGCACCAGCCCAUGAGAGAUUGAGAGAGUGAGACGCAGAGAUGGAGAGACCCGUUAGUUCGAGAAGACCCACGACCUGCUGAACCCGAGAGGAAGACCCGAUCCUCCAUUAACGAACUCCGAUGGCCUGAGACACGAAAUCCGGCGAUGGAUGAGCAAUUUCCGGUGAGCCUUGCAAUCGGUGAACCGUAGAAACCCAAAGACCCGUUGAUUCGAGCAACCCGUGACCCGUACCCCGUGUGACCCAACGGCUUAAAGGCUAGGUUUCCGGCGAGUUUUCCGGCGGUCCAGUAGCGGUUUCCGGUGGAUUUGUUGAGAAAAAUCCCUAAGGAUCAUGUUCGGAUUGGAGACUUUAAUUGGUUCUCCAAUGUAGAGUCCAAGUGACUAGAGUCCAAGGAGUGUUCGAGUUGGAGUCCAAUGCAGCCAAGAUGAUGUUUCUUUGGCUGCAGGUACUUCGGUAUAGUCGAUGGGUCGGUAGCAGUGUGUAUGGGAUAUUAUGACUGAAGCUCACCGCGACGGUUAUAAUUGUCGGACCACGGGUUGUCCACUAUUUUAUAGGUUUGGUAUGGCUUGUGACGUUUGUGUCACUUAUUAAUUGUUAAGCCAUUAUUGUUAUAGUGUUAAUAAGACUCAAACAGAUAGAUGUUAAAUGGCUCUUUGUUGUAAUUAAUUUGUGAUAGAUGUAUAAGUUGUAAUUUCCGCUAUUCAGAUUUA